GGGGGGCAAAGAGGAGAAAUGUUCGUUGUGCGCUGCUCGAUUUGUCCCGCUGUUAGGUUUGUAGGUUAGGACGGUAAAGGGGGAGGCGGAGGGCUCCGGAGGAGCUGCGACAUCCCCUUGUUAUUGAAGAGGAGGGCUGAGAUGGCGGUAUGGGCCGGCGUGCAGAGGCCGGCAGAGACUGAGCUGUCCUGAGUGAGUGAGUGCCGCACCCUUGCUUGCUUGCUUGCGGGCUCCCCGACGACCCACGCAAGGGGAAGGGCGUGACGGGGUGGGUGCGUGACGGCCGGUUUCGCGUGUCCGAGUGUGUCGUACUUUUUCCCCACCCCCGCUCCCCCUCUGCCCUGAGUAGGGGAUGGGAUCGGGGAUUUGCUUGGAUCGUCCGCAGUGGGGUGUCGGAGGGCCGUCUGCCGCGUUGCGCCUCUUCCUCCUGCUCCUGCUCCUGGCCUUCCCAGGUCCAACACACGGUGAAAGGUACGACUGAUAUCAGUUGUGUCGGUUGGGCCUUCAGGGACGGCUCUCGGGACAGAAUGGUGCUGCGGAGGGGCGUCGGAGACCUUUUGCAGGCUGGUGGUAUGCGGGUUGAGUGUGCAGAAUGCUCCGAAGCAAGGGGAUAUGUUGGUGGUGGGGAAGAGCAGGGGAUUCUUGAAGUAGAAUGUGCCAGAGUCCAAUGCGGUAAGAGAAAUAACUAAGCAUCGCCGCACACACAGCAAUAUAAUAAUGACUGUAUGUUAAGAGUUAUUAAGAAAUUAUGUGGUAGAUAAAAUUGUGCCCCGCACGAUGGAUGGUUUCCCUUUCUUUUUUGGGGGCCAUGGUUCUGUACGUCAGCAUCUAUGAACUGGAUCUAACCUCCAUUGCUCGUUAAACGUUUCUUAACUACCUUUUCCGUUGGGAAACACCCGUUGCACGCAUGACGUUGACGACGGGUGGGAGAUGUCCAGGCUUCCGGUUGCGCUUUCAAGCUGUCUUGUUACUGAGACAUUUUUUAACCGAAUGAACCAACUAUGAAUACUGGAUAACAAGCAGGCGAUAGAUAGUCUUGACGGCUCAAGGACGUUUUAAUCGUUGGGGAUUGUUCGUACAGGUCUGCUAUGGAAUGCGAAUACAGCGUUGCUGCAGGUGGGUAGGAGGGUUUCGGGGCUGAAGAGAUGAUGUGAAUGGUGGAGGGCCCAGGGGCGGGAAUCCGGCCCUGCCCUGGACGUGACGCGCGGGCGGUCCUCCGCGGCUGGGCCCCUAUUCGCCGGUUCUUAGGCCUUGGGGUGCUAACACACAUACAUACGCACAUCCACAUGCGCGGCGCCCAAAGGAUGCCGUGUGCGGUAGCGGUAGCGGUUAUCGUCUUCCUUCUGGUCCAGGGGGAUGUUGGCAGGGGCAUUGAGAAACAUGUGUGCGUUACUAUAUGUGUAUUGUGUGUGUGUGUGUGCGUUGUCUUGGUGAGUGUAGCUUCACGCCGGGCCGAGUCCUAGAGGAACAGAAGGCGAAAACGUCUGCCGCUAUGUGUGCAUGAGCAUGUGUGUGCGUGUUAUUGUGGUGAGGGUUUGGUUCACCAGUCGCGGCCCCUAGGGUGUACCUCCCGGAGCGACUACCCUCCACAGCCUGCCGAGCUUACUUGCAUUGUUGCUGCUGCGUCAUUGUCCGUGACCAUUCGCUGCACUCACUGCGUCGAUCGUACGUGUCCGGGACGGGGCCCACUUGUGCUGCUUUGCGACGAUGACGUCGACUGCUGUUCGGCUUGGUGGCGUGGGACUGCUGUUGCUGCUGCCCCUGCAUGAGGACACGUGGAGUCGUGCACAGAUAUUAAAUUGCACGUUGGCGAGAUGCCUUUAUCGGCUGGAUAGCUACUGGCUGGGGAGUUGUUCCUUGCAGUCCGCCGUGAUGUUGUCGGGCUUCCCGUGUAGUGAACCACACAGUUUUGCUGCUUCCACCUCGCGUGGGCGUUGCCUUGAUGUCGCAUUCCCUUGGUGUUUUGUUUAGUUCUAUUAAGAGUGAACACGGAGGUUUCGGACCCAGUGCGCUUUUGUUGAUGUUAGAACCCGGCUGAGGAAGUUAAGGGCACAGGAGUUCGUAAGAGCCCUGCAGGGUGCGCUGGGGAGACGCAUGCAUGCAGGAGUGCUGGUUCGUGGAAGUUUUUCUUCGUGUUUGUAUAUGAUAUGCAUGUAAACAGUAAUUGGUAUGCAUGUAAGCACUGAUUGGUAUA
rnacentral:lncRNA from 1 species